rnacentral:rRNA from 1 species
AUUGAACGCUGGCGGCAUGCUUUACACAUGCAAGUCGAACGGUAACAGGUCUUCGGAUGCUGACGAGUGGCGAACGGGUGAGUAAUGUAUCGGAACGUGCCCAGUAGUGGGGGAUAACUACUCGAAAGAGUGGCUAAUACCGCAUGAGAACUGAGGUUGAAAGCGGGGGACCGUUCGGGCCUCGCGCUACUGGAGCGGCCGAUAUCAGAUUAGGUAGUUGGUGGGGUAAAGGGCCUACCAAGCCGACGAUCUGUAGCUGGUCUGAGAGGACGACCAGCCACACUGGGACUGAGACACGGCCCAGACUCCUACGGGAGGCAGCAGUGGGGAAUUUUGGACAAUGGACGCAAGUCUGAUCCAGCAAUGCCGCGUGCAGGACGAAGGCCUCGGUUGUAACUAGCUUUGUACAGAACGAAAGGUUUACUCUAAUACAGGAGGCUUAUGACGGUACUGUAAGAAUAAGACACCGGCUAACUACGUGCCAGCAGACGCGGUAAAGUAGU